rnacentral:rRNA from 1 species
AUUGAACGCUGGCGGCAGGCCUAACACAUGCAAGUCGAACGAGUGGCGGACGGGUGAGUAAUGUCUGGGAAACUGCCCGAUGGCGGGGGAUAACUACUGGAAACGGUAGCUAAUACCGCAUACCAUCGGAUGUGCCCAUAUGGGAUUAGCUAGUAGGUGGGGUAAAGGCUCACCUAGGCGACGAUCCCUAGCUGGUCUGAGAGGAUGACCAGCCACACUGGAACUGAGACACGGGCCAGACUCCUACGGGAGGCAGCAGUGGGGAAUAUUGCACAAUGGGCGCAAGCCGGAUGCAGCCAUGCCGCGUGUAUGAAGAAGGCCUUCGGGUUGUAAAGUACUUUCAGCGGGGAGGCGGUACCCGCAGAAGAAGCACCGGCUAACUCCGUGCCAGCAGCCGCGGUAAUUC